rnacentral:rRNA from 1 species
UAUAUUGUAUAUUAAAUGGCCCCGAUAAUUUGAUCGUGCAAAGGUAGCAUAAUAAUUAGUUUUUUAAUUGGGAACUGGAAUGAAAGGUCGAACGAGAAAAAAUCUGUCUCAAUUUAAUUUAAAUUAGAAUUUUAUUUUUAAGUAAAAAAGCUUAAAUAAUUUUAAAAGACGAGAAGACCCUAUAGAGUUUUAUAUUUAUUAUUUUUUUUUUUAUUUUUAGAAUUUUAGUUUAGGAUUAUUUAAUAAAUAUUUGAUUGGGGCGAUUGGAAAAUUUAAAAAACUUUUUCUAUUUAUAAAACAUUGAUAUAUGAAAAGUUGACCCC